rnacentral:rRNA from 1 species
CAACCCAGACCGCCAGCUAAGGUCCCAAAGUCAUGGUUAAGUGGGAAACGAUGUGGGAAGGCCCAGACAGCCAGGAUGUUGGCUUAGAAGCAGCCAUCAUUUAAAGAAAGCGUAAUAGCUCACUGGUCGAGUCGGCCUGCGCGGAAGAUGUAACGGGGCUAAACCAUGCACCGAAGCUGCGGCAGCGACGCUGAUGCGUUGUUGGGUAGGGGAGCGUUCUGUAAGCCUGUGAAGGUGGCCUGUGAGGGUUGCUGGAGGUAUCAGAAGUGCGAAUGCUGACAUAAGUAACGAUAAAGCGGGUGAAAAGCCCGCUCGCCGGAAGACCAAGGGUUCCUGUCCAACGUUAAUCGGGGCAGGGUGAGUCGACCCCUAAGGCGAGGCCGAAAGGCGUAGUCGAUGGGAAACGGGUUAAUAUUCCCGUACUUGGUGUUACUGCGAAGGGGGGACGGAGAAGGCUAUGUUGGCCGGGCGACGGUUGUCCCGGUUUAAGCGUGUAGGUGUGUGUUCCAGGUAAAUCCGGUUCAC